GCAGUCGAGCGGUAACAGAGAGUAGCUUGCUACUUUGCUGACGAGCGGCGGACGGGUGAGUAAUGCUUGGGAACAUGCCUUGAGGUGGGGGACAACAGUUGGAAACGACCGCUAAUACCGCAUAAUGUCUACGGACCAAAGGGGGCUUCGGCUCUCGCCUUUAGAUUGGCCCAAGUGGGAUUAGCUAGUUGGUGAGGUAAUGGCUCACCAAGGCGACGAUCCCUAGCUGGUUUGAGAGGAUGAUCAGCCACACUGGGACUGAGACACGGCCCAGACUCCUACGGGAGGCAGCAGUGGGGAAUAUUGCACAAUGGGCGCAAGCCUGAUGCAGC
rnacentral:rRNA from 1 species